GGGGUGUAUAGCUCAGUGGUAAAGUAUUCGACUGCAGAUCGUGGGAUCCCCGGUUCAAACCCGGGUGCCCCCA
rnacentral:tRNA from 1 species